rnacentral:lncRNA from 12 species
GAUGGUGCAGCCAGAGAGCAGAGACCCUGAGCCUGGAUUGCAGGAGGGACGCUGCCCUGCAGAGUGGCCUGGACUGCAGGUGAACUAAGAAAAGUGGCUUCAUUAAACAAUGAAAAGUGUUGUGGAUUCAAGACUCAUACCUAUCCUAUGAAGGAUUCAAUGAAAUAUUGGCCACAGUUCACCUAUGUGGGGAUUUGAGGUUUUGAUUACAGAACAUUGGUCAUCAAUUCU